rnacentral:rRNA from 1 species
AGUGACGCUCGAACAGGCAUGCCUCAAGGAAUACCAGGAGGCGCAAUGUGCGUUCAAAGAUUCGAUGAUUCACUGAAUUCUGCAAUUCACAUUACUUAUCGCAUUUCGCUGCGUUCUUCAUCGAUACGAGAGCCAAGAGAUCCGUUGUUGAAAG